GCGAGGUGAUCGCGACCGGGACACGCCCAGGCCCUCGGGCUGGUGGAACGGACCGGUUGAGGAAAGUCCGGGCUCCCCAAUGGCCAGGCUUGCUGGGUAACGCCCAGUGCGGGUGACCGUGAGGAGAGUGCCACAGAAACACACCGCCGAUGGCCCUUCGGGGAUCAGGCAAGGGUGCAAAGGUGCGGUAAGAGCGCACCAGCAGCAUCGAGAGGUGCUGGCUCGGUAAACCCCGGCUGGGAGCAAGGCCUAGGAACAACGGUUGGCCAUGACACCCGUUCCGCUUUUCUUGCGCCGCUUGAGGCCAUCGGUAACGGUGGUCCCAGACAGAUGAUCGCCCCCGCGAAAGCGGAGAACAGAACCCGGCUUACGUCCUGCUU
rnacentral:RNase_P_RNA from 1 species